rnacentral:rRNA from 1 species
ACAUGCAAGUCGAGCGAGAUCUUCGGAUCUAGCGGCGGACGGGUUAGUAACGCGUGGGAACGUACCCAAAGGUAGGGAAUAGCCACUGGAAACGGUGAGUAAUACCCUAUGUGCCCUUCGGGGGAAAGAUUUAUCGCCUUUGGAUCGGCCCGCGUUAGAUUAGAUAGUUGGUGGGGUAACGGCCUACCAAGUCUACGAUCUAUAGCUGGUUUUAGAGGAUGAUCAGCAACACUGGGACUGAGACACGGCCCAGACUCCUACGGGAGGCAGCAGUGGGGAAUAUUGGACAAUGGGGGAAACCCUGAUCCAGCCAUGCCGCGUGAGUGAAGAAGGCCCUAGGGUUGUAAAGCUCUUUCACCAAGGACGAUGAUGACGGUACUUGGACAAGAAGCCCCGGCUAACUCCGUGCCAGCAGCCGCGGUAAUACGGAGGGGGCUAGCGUUGUUCGGAAUUACUGGGCGUAAAGCGCGCGUAGGCGGUAAUCCAAGUCAGGCGUGAAAGCCCCAGGCUCAACCUGGGAACUGCGUUUGAUACUGGAUAACUAGAGGCCGGGAGAGGGUAGUGGAAUUCCCAGUGUAGAGGUGAAAUUCGUAGAUAUUGGGAAGAACACCGGUGGCGAAGGCGGCUACCUGGACCGGACCUGACGCUGAGGUGCGAAAGCGUGGGGAGCGAACAGGAUUAGAUACCCUGGUAGUCCACGCCGUAAACGAUGAGUGCUAGAUGUUGGGGGGCUUAGCCCUUCAGUGUCACAGUUAACGCGUUAAGCACUCCGCCUGGGGAGUACGGCCGCAAGGCUAAAACUCAAAGGAAUUGACGGGGGCCCGCACAAGCGGUGGAGCAUGUGGUUUAAUUCGACGCAACGCGCAGAAUCUUACCAGCCCUUGACAUCCCGAUCGCGGAUUACAGAGAUGUUCUCCUUCAGUUCGGCUGGAUCGGUGACAGGUGCUGCAUGGCUGUCGUCAGCUCGUGUCGUGAGAUGCUGGGUUAAGUCCCGCAACGAGCGCACCUUCAUCUAGUGCAUCGGUCGGCGGUACUUUAGAGACUGCGUGAUAGCUGAGAGGUGGGAUGACGUCAGUCUCAUGCCUACGCUGCUACCACUGCUACAUGGCGGUGACAUGGAAUGCAAAGGGCGACCUGGAGCUAAUCCCUACG